rnacentral:rRNA from 1 species
CCUACGGGAGGCAGCAGUGAGGAAUAUUGGUCAAUGGGAGAGAUCCUGAACCAGCCAAGCCGCGUGAGGGAAGACGGCCCUAUGGGUUGUAAACCUCUUUUGUCGGAGAACAAAACCCGGGACGAGUCCCGGACUGCGUGUAUCCGAAGAAAAAGCAUCGGCUAACUCGGAUCCAGCAGCCGCGGUAAUAGGGGGGAUGAGAGCGUUAUCGGGUUUUAUUGGGGUUAAAGGGUGCGUAGGCGGUCUGUUAAGUCAGCGGUAAAAUUUCGGGGCUCAACCCCGUCGAGCCGUUGAAACUGGCAGACUUGAGUUGGCGAGAGGCACGCGGAAUUCGCGGUGUAGCGGUGAAAUGCAUAGAUAUCGCGCAGAACUCCGGUUGCGAAGGCAGCGUACCGGCGCCAGACUGACGCUGAGGCACGAAAGCGUGGGGAUCGAACAGGAUUAGAUACCCCUGUAGUC